rnacentral:tRNA from 1 species
GGAUCCUUAGCUCAGUCGGUAGAGCAGGUGGCUGUUAACCACUGUGUCCCAGGUUCGAUUCCUGGAGGAUCCG